rnacentral:rRNA from 1 species
UACGUAGGGUGCGAGCGUUAAUCGGAAUUACUGGGCGUAAAGCGUGCGCAGGCGGUUUUGUAAGACAGGCGUGAAAUCCCCGGGCUCAACCUGGGAAUUGCGCUUGUGACUGCAAGGCUAGAGUACGUCAGAGGGGGGUAGAAUUCCAGCGUGUAGCAGUGAAAUGCGUAGAGAUGUGGAGGAAUACCGAUGGCGAAGGCAGCCCCCUGGGACGUGACUGACGCUCAUGCACGAAAGCGUGGGGAGCAAACAGG